UACGGGGGGGGGCAAGCGUUGUUCGGAAUUACUGGGCGUAAAGGGCUCGUAGGCGGCCAACUAAGUCGGAUGUGAAAUCCCCAGGCUUAACCUGGGAACUGCAUCCGAUACUGGAUGGCUUGAAUCCGGGAGAGGGAUGCAGAAUUCCAGGUGUAGUGGUGAAAUGCGUAGAUAUCUGGAGGAACACCGGUGGCGAAGGCGGCAUCCUGGACUACUACUGACGCUGAGGAGCGAAAGCCAGGGGAGCAAACGGA
rnacentral:rRNA from 1 species